GACGAACGCUGGCGGCGUGCUUAACACAUGCAAGUCGAACGGAAAGGCCCUGCUUUUGUGGGGUGCUCGAGUGGCGAACGGGUGAGUAACACGUGAGUAACCUGCCCUUGACUUUGGGAUAACUUCAGGAAACUGGGGCUAAUACCGGAUAGGAGCUCCUGCUGCAUGGUGGGGGUUGGAAAGUUUCGGCGGUUGGGGAUGGACUCGCGGCUUAUCAGCUUGUUGGUGGGGUAGUGGCUUACCAAGGCUUUGACGGGUAGCCGGCCUGAGAGGGUGACCGGCCACAUGGGGACUGAGAUACGGCCAAGACUCCUACGGGAGGCAGCAGUGGGGAAUAUUGCACAAGGGGCGGAAGCCUGAUGCAGCAACGCCGCGUGCGGGAUGACGGCCUUCGGGUGGUAAACCGCUUUCGCCGGUGACGAAGCGUGAGUGACGGUAAUGGGUAAAGAAGCACCGGCUAACUACGUG
rnacentral:rRNA from 1 species